UCCGAGUACUUCAGAAGCUGCUUAAUCCGUUGUACAACCAAAACAGGGUCGAAAUGGACGUUUCGAAAAUCAAAUCAUUCCUGGGCUUCCAAAUGGUCCACCAGCAAGCGACCAAUUCAGAUAAGUUAUUUUGCUUAUUAUGCAUCCCUUUUUUGGCCAACCACCUAUCUCAGAUGUAACGUACGUCUUCUUCCAUCUCACCAGCCUGAACUCCUUCUCGAAUCAUCACCAAACUUCCUCUCGAAUCAUCCCAUCUUCCCUUCAAUUGAAGUUACUACUUAAAUA
rnacentral:lncRNA from 1 species